UACGGAGGGUGCGAACGUUAAUCGGAAUCACUGGGCGUAAAGCGCGCGUAGGCGGUCUGUUAAGUGGGAUGUGAAAUCCCCGGGCCUAACCUGGGAAUUGCAUUUCAAACUGGCCGACUAGAGUACGGUAGAGGGAGGUAGAAUUUCCUGUGUAGCGGUGAAAUGCGUAGAUAUAGGAAGGAAUACCAGUGGCGAAGGCGGCCUCCUGGAUCGAUACUGACGCUGAGGCGCGAAAGCGUGGGGAGCAAACAGG
rnacentral:rRNA from 1 species